rnacentral:rRNA from 1 species
UACGGGGGGGGCAAGCGUUGCUCGGAAUUAUUGGGCGUAAAGCGCACGUAGGCGGUCCGUUAAGUCGGAUGUGAAAGCCCCCGGCUCAACCGGGGAAGUGCAUCCGAAACUGGCAGGCUAGAGUACGAAAGAGGGUCGCGGAAUUCCCGGUGUAGAGGUGAAAUUCGUAGAUAUCGGGAGGAACACCGGUGGCGAAGGCGGCGACCUGGGUCGAUACUGACGCUGAGGUGCGAAGCGUGGGGAGCAAACAGG